ACUGUUAAUUCAUAUGAUUUAACUUCGCCUGAGCUCGUGAUGACGUGGCACCCACUGGCUGACCACGUGCCACCUGGUGCGGAUCAAACCGCCUCAACUUCCCAACUAACUCCCGGAGGAGUCCCACCUCGAGAGCACCCAGGCUCUCACCCGCUCACUGAUUUAGGGCCCACCUAAAGCGAACCCCCUUACCAUUUGACCUAAUCAUACGCUGACCUGUCCUACGUAAGCUCGCCAGGUGUUUAGGGCCCCUCGCCGACGAAGCCCCACCACAUCAGAUCACUGCAGACGUGUCGAGCUCCUAUUCAACCGCGUGCGACACACGUGCCCAAGAGCUGCGUGCUUUAUAAGAAACGGCGAGCUCUACCCCGCAUCUCCCUUUACGUAUAAAGAGGAGCCAACACCAUUAAAACCCCCCCUAAUUAAAACUCCAUCACCACCAAAAUUAAGUUAAAAGGGAGAAUAAAAAAACGUUCUGCUUCUGAUCUCGAUCUCUCGAUCUUGAUCUCUCUCGUAGAUUUGAGCAUCGAUGGACCUGAACUCGGGCCGGAUCGAUUUGGAUUCUUCCAAGAAGCGGAUGAUCCACAAUCAGGUGCUGAGAAUCCGAGAAGAGGACCAACGGAUCGGGGAUCGGAUCGGCGAGAUCGCCACGUCAGAGAUCCGAACUCCGAUCGAGGGGUUCCUCUGCUCGCGGCCGAUGCUUCCGUCUUCUCCCCUCGGCAAUAAAUGCGCGCGGUGCUAUCAGUGACGGAGGCAGCAGGGCCCCGGUCUCUGCACGGUCGACACGUGUAGGGGCGUUUUAGGAAAGUUAUAUUUGAGAGGGUUGUAUUUGAAAUAUGCAAGUGAUGUGGUCCCCCGCAGACAAACACACCAUGUACAGCUU